AUACUUAUUUUGCAUAGGUGAUACCAUGGUCAUGAAGAUUGUUUUCCCAGGGUGAGGUUCAUUCAUUGCAUUCUGGCCUCUGUGAUUUCCCCAAAUGUGGGAAACUCGACUGCAUAAUUUGUGGUAGGGGGGGGACUGCAUUUGUGCUUUCCCCUG